UACAGAGGGGGCGAGCGUUGUUCGGAAUUACUGGGCGUAAAGGGCGCGUAGGCGGCCCGCUAAGUCGAACGUGAAAUCCCCAGGCUCAACCUGGGAACUGCGUCCGAUACUGGCAGGCUUGAAUCCGGGAGAGGGAUGUGGAAUUCCAGGUGUAGCGGUGAAAUGCGUAGAUAUCUGGAGGAACACCGGUGGCGAAGGCGGCAUCCUGGACCGGUAUUGACGCUGAGGCGCGAAAGCGAGGGGAGCAAACAGG
rnacentral:rRNA from 1 species